UGGAUCGUAUAGCCGGUCUGACGUCAGCGGCGACUGGGGAAAGCGGGAAAACCCAGAAGUGGUGGAAAUGCCGUUCCUCCGGGAAAAAAAGAGACGAAGCUUACAACGAUUGCUUAAUGGCUUUAAUCGAUGUAAUGAGGAUGAGAUAUCGAUUCUCUGAGUUCGAGAAGAACGCACUAGCGUCGAAGGCAGAGACCCUGGAGAGAGAGUUGAACGAUGCGAAGAAUCAAAUACGGCGACUGGAUGAAUCACAUGAGAUCGCCCUUACGAAGUCGCAAAACACUUCAGGAUGUCACCACGAGCGUCCGAGAACUUGUCAAAAAAGCUCCGACGGCAAAGGAAUUUGUUGCCUCCGGAGGAGAACGCUUUGAAGGGAAUUUUUCUAUCUCGUACGUUAAAGUCCUUAAGGAUGAACACGCUUAAGCAAAUUCCAAACUCAAUUACAAUUAUAAAUCCGUAGAAAAUGAACUUUCCUCUCACAGGUCAAACUUAAUUAUUAAAAAACCUGGUCACUUCAGUUCCAAAACUUUGAAGAUAAAUUUGAGGUUAUGACGGCGGUGAGUUUGCCGUCUGCUUUGUUUGUACGCCACAUCACCUGACAGAAUUCUGCCGACGUUUCAGAGGUCCUGUUUGCCUCCUAGAGAAUGGCCCAUGACAGAAUGAAAGGCAAGGUCUUUAUGGAUGACUCAGGAGUCAGAGCCAAGGGAAUUGACUGGGAAGAACAUAGUUUAAUGCCUUCUUCCUGUCUGUUCAUAUUACCCGUUGGUCAGACCAUGCUUUGUAACCCGUACCCUUAGCCUUACCCAUUUUUCGAGAUGCUGCAAGUACCUCUGAAACGUCGGAGGAGUUCUACCAGAAUACACGGCGCUACAGCUAGGAAGCGAGCUGUCUUGCACCUCAGAGCCGUGAAAACUUAAACGUCCAAUCCAUUGAUGACUCCUUACGGUAAUAGAAGACCAGGGUUUAAAUUAUUCUUAUUAAUGUUAUCACCAAUUUUA